AUGGAGUCAAUAAACACAAACUUCACUGUCACUGAAUUUGUGUUCCUGGGGUUGUCCUCUGAACCAAAGAUACAGCUUAUUCUUUUUAUUAUGUUCUUGUUCUAUUUAUCAACGGUGGCUGGAAAUGUUAUAAUCAUCACUAUUAUCUAGAUGGAACCUCUCCUCCAAACCCCCAUGUACUUCUUCCUCACUAAUUUAUCCUUUCUGGACAUUUGCUACACAUCCACCAAUGUCCCCCAAAUGCUGUCCAACAUGGCGGGGAAAAAGAACACCAUCUCAUUCUCCAGCUGCGCUACUCAGAUGUACUUCUCCCUCUCCUUUGGAAUGAUUGUGUCCUCCUUGGUGUCAUGGCUUAUGACAGAUAUGUAGCCAUUUGUCAUCCUCUUCAUUAUACCUUCAUUAUGGACCAAAACACCUGCAUUCAACUGGCAGUUAUUUCUUGGUCCAGUAGCUUCCUGAGUUCCAUGGUUAUCAAUGUUCUCACGUUGAGUUUGCCCUACUGUGGGCCUAAUAUCCUGAAUCACUUUUUCUGUGAGGUACUUUCUGUCCUGAGGUUGGCUUGCACCAACACCUCAUUCACAGAGCUGGUUGUUUUUAUCUUCAGUAUCAUCAUUGUCUUCAUCCCUUUCCUCCUCAUUGUUGUUUCCUAUGUCCGGAUCCUUCAAUCUGUUCUCAGGAUGCGGUCAGCCUCUGGGCGGUAUCAGGCAUUAUCCACCUGUACCUCCCAUUUGACAGUGGUAACCUUAUUUAUGGGACUGCCAUCUUCAUGGACAUGAGACCACAGUCGAGGUCCUCCUGGGCUGGCGGCAAGAUCAUUGCGGUUUUCUACACGGUGGUCACACCCAUGCUUAACCCCUUGAUUUACAGCCUGAGGAACCAAGAUGUGAAAGGAGCUCGAAGGAGAGCUAUUGCAAAGCAGAGGAUGUGA
rnacentral:lncRNA from 1 species